UACAGAGGUCUCAAGCGUUAAUCGGAGUCACUGGGCGUAAAGCGUGCGCAGGCGGUUAUGCAAGACAGAGGUGAAAUCCCCGGGCUCAACCUGGGAACUGCCUUUGUGACUGCAUAGCUAGAGUACGGUAGAGGGGGAUGGAAUUCCGCGUGUAGCAGUGAAAUGCGUAGAUAUGCGGAGGAACACCGAUGGCGAAGGCAAUCCCCUGGACCUGUACUGACGCUCAUGCACGAAAGCGUGGGGAGCAAACAGG
rnacentral:rRNA from 1 species